AACGCUAGCUACAGGCUUAACACAUGCAAGUCGAGGGGCAGCAUGAUUGAAGCUUGCUUCAAUUGAUGGCGACCGGCGCACGGGUGAGUAACACGUAUCCAACCUUCCGCUGACUCGGGGAUAGCCUUUCGAAAGAAAGAUUAAUACCCGAUGGCACAGGAUUUCCGCAUGGAUAUCCUUUUAAAGGAUUCCGGUCAGCGAUGGGGAUGCGUUCCAUUAGAUGGUUGGCGGGGUAACGGCCCACCAAGUCGACGAUGGAUAGGGGUUCUGAGAGGAAGGUCCCCCACAUUGGAACUGAGACACGGUCCAAACUCCUACGGGAGGCAGCAGUGAGGAAUAUUGGUCAAUGGGCGCGAGCCUGAACCAGCCAAGUAGCGUGAAGGAAGACUGCCCUAUGGGUUGUAAACUUCUUUUAUACGGGAAUAAAGUCAUCCACGUGUGGGUGUUUGUAUGUACCGUAUGAAUAAGGAUCGGCUAACUCCGUGCCAGCAGCCGCGGUAAUACGGAGGAUCCGAGCGUUAUCCGGAUUUAUUGGGUUUAAAGGGAGCGUAGGCGGGCUUUUAAGUCAGUUGUGAAAGUUUGCGGCUCAACCGUAAAAUUGCAGUUGAUACUGGAAGCCUUGAGUACAGUAAAGGCAGGCGGAAUUCGUGGUGUAGCGGUGAAAUGCUUAGAUAUCACGAAGAACUCCGAUUG
rnacentral:rRNA from 1 species